GGAAGAGGAGGAAGAGGAGGAGGAGGAGUAAGGGACCUUGAUAAAGAGGAAGGACGCAGGGCCAGAGGGGUUGGGGGCCUCAAAUGUAAUAACCCGACUUUGCUCACAAUCUCUAGGAAUUGCAGAACCCAGGGCGGCAGAUCCCUCCACAGCGCCGCUUAUUUUGUGAGCCAGAGCCGACGAAUACCGUAAAAUCCGAACAGCGGGAACCAUACUGUGGCCAAAGACGUGUUUACUGGUGCGUUUUUCUCUGUCUCACUCUCUGUAUUCUCUCUCUUUCUUGGUCUUUUGUUAUUUUAUUUGGUCUUUUUCUGUCCUCUUGGUUUCCUGUGGGCCAAAGACGUGUUUUAAUGGUGCGUUUUUCUCUGCCUCACUCUCUUUUUGUCCCUUGUUCUCUAUUUUGAUAGGUCUUUUGAUGUCCUCUUGGUUUCUGUCUAUUUCUCUGUUUUCUUUUCUUUUUUACUGUGGGCCAAAGACGUGUUUACUGAUGCGUUUUUCUCUCUCUCUCACUCUCUGUAUCUCUCUCUUUCUCUUUCUUGGUCUCUUGUUUUCUAUAUUUUGUUUUGUCUUUUGGUGUUCUUGGUCUUUGUCUGUUUCUCUGUUUCCUUUUUUUUUCUGUUGGGCCAAAGACGUGUUUACUGGUGCGUUUUUUUCUGUCUCACUCCCUUUGUCUCUUGUUCUCUAUAUUUUGUUUGGUCUUUUGGUGUUCUCUUAUUCCCUGUUUCUGAGUUUUCUCUAUCAUUCCCUUUUAGUCUGUUUCUACUUGUUUAUAUCGUUCUUUACUUCAUCUCCUCUGCCCCUGUAUUGUAGUCUGUCUCUGUUUUCUUUUCAAUCCAUAUUCUAUACCUUUUUUUCUGUCUCUUUUAUUCUCGAUUUUUUUCACUCAUGUUUCGUCCUCAAAUCCUCUUCAUUGUACCUCUUUUCAGACUCUUCAUCAUCUUCAUCCCACUUCCCUAGGUAUCCAUCGUUCUUCUUUUCAUAUUUAUCUUCUACCUUUUCUCGAUCUCUCACCCUUUCAGCUCUCUUCUUAUAUCUCCCUCUCUCUCCUUCUCUCCCUGUGUCUCUUUCGUUCCUUACCUUCACGUACUGUACCUCUUCCUUUUCUCUCACUCUCACUGCCUCUCCCCCUUUGCCUCUUCUCCCUCUUCCCAAGUGUCUCCCCCUCUCUCCCUCUCUUCUCCCUCUGCCUCUCGUCCUUCUCUUCAUGUUUCAGUGGCGGCGAUAAACCACCAGCGAUGCGAACUUGCGGCGACAGCAACAACAGCGGUAGAAAAGGAAUCGAUUUUAUCCGUCUUGUUGCCCCGCGAAGUUUUUGUGCCAUAAAGCCGAGGAGGUUGAAAAGACACGCGAUUUGGAAGAGAGAGAGAGAGAGAGAGAGAGAGAGAGAGAGAGAGAGAGAGAGAGAGAGAGAGAGGAAUGGAAUGGGUGGAUGGAGGACGAAAGGAAGGAAGGAGGGAUGGAGUUAAAGAGGGAGGAGAGAGGGAUGAUGAAAGUAGGGGUAAGAAGAAGGAUGAGGAUAGAAGAUGGGGUUCAGAAGGAGGAUGAAAAAAGAGGAGAAAAGGAAGGAAGAAGGAUGAUGAAGGAAGAGAAAGAAGGAGGGAUUAAAGGAAUGAGAUGGAUGAAAAGAUAAAAUUGAAAGGAAGGAGGAAAGAAAGAUGAAGUUAAGGAGGGAGGAGGAAAAAAAAAAGGAAAGAGGAAGGAUGGAAUUUAAGGAUGACACCACAGCUCUUUCUCCUCUUCCUCCUCCUGCUCUAUCAUACCCUUUUCACGUGCACACACAUCCCCCUCCUCUUGUUCUUCCUCUCCUCUUCUUGCCCGUCACCCUGAAGCAAGAUGGGACGGGGCGGGGUAGCGGGGCGGGGCACGGCGGAAACACCCUUCGUCGCCCACCAAAAAUUACACGUCCAUAAAUGUCUUCAGGUAUUAGCAAAGGCGGCAGGAGGCUUUGUACGGGCAGGCAGGUGAUUGGGUGAUUGGGAAAGAGAGGGGAGGUAGGUUCCUGACGCGGCGGAGGUGUGGAGGAAAGGAGAAACGGAGGGAUGGAGGAGAACAUAGGAAAACACUCACCCCUUCCCACCCACCCACACAAAAUUCAUCUCCCUUCCUCCUCUCCCCUUCCCCCUUCGCCCUUCCUCCUUCCCCUAGAAACUUUAAUCCCCUUCCCCUUUCCCUUUUCCCCCCUUCUCCCUUUACUCAGCUAUACGAUAAGAAGCCAGCAGUAAGUAUAGACAACAUGAGUGCGUGUGAAUAUGUAUAAGUAAUGGCAACGAAAUGGUGUUCAGUUCUGUUUCCCCCCAAGUUUGUGCUCAAUAGGAAGUAUAUACGUGUUUUCACCUUCACCCGAGACACCUUCACCUGCUAAUUGGUUCAGGUGCCCACAGGUGUUCUCAGGUGUACUAUAUCUAUGGCAUCACCCGUCACCUGUAGGAAUCGGCAGGUGACGGUGUGAAAAGAUUUUGUUUGUUGUUUGUGAAGAGAAUUUGUUUGUGUGAGGAGAAAUUGUUUUGUUUGUGAAUUUUGCUUUGUGAGAAUAAUUUAUUGUUUGUGAAGAGAAUUUUCGUUUGUGAUAGGAAUUUGAGCAGAGAAUUUGUUGUUUGUGAAGGGAAUUUUCGUUUGUGAAGAGAAUUUUUCGUUUGUGAUUGGAAUUUGUGAACAGAAUUUGUUGUUUGUGAAGAGAAAUUGUUGUUUGUGAAGAGAAUUUUCGUUUGUGGGGAGAAUUUUCAUUUGUGAAGAUAAUUAAUUUGUUUGUGAAGAGAAAUUGACUUCAUGUUCGACUAUUCAGUGUUAAUUCAUUACUUCAUUUACUCCUUAUUGAUGCUACCUGUUACUCCGUCCCCCUCCACCCCCUCUCCUUCACCUGCUCCUCCUUACCUUAUCUUACCUUAACUUUACCUGUCCUCACCUCACCCCACCUCCAAAUGAUUACAGGUGGGACGUGUUUCUUACCUAUGCCCACCUUACCUUACCUUACCUUAACAUUACCUGUCCUCACCUUACCUUACCUUAACUUUACCUGUCCUCACCACACCCCACCUCCAAAUGAUUACAGGUGGGAUAUGUUUCUUACCUAUUCCCACCUUACCUUACCUUACCUUUACCUGUCCUCACCUCACCCCACCUCCAAAUGAUUACAGGUGGGACGUGUUUCUUACCUAUGCUUACCUUACCUUACCUGUCCACCUCACCCCCAAAUGAUUACAGGUGGGACGUGUCGCUCACCUAUGCUCAGACUCACUAUUACUGUUGUUACUCCUGUUGUUAUCGUUGUUAUUUGUUCUUGUUAGAGUCUGGUUUGGAGUCAGUCGUGCUGUUGAUGUUGUUGUCUGUUGUUUGAGGGCUUUGUAUGUUAAUCUUUUUUGUUUGUUUGUUUGUUUCUCGAUCAUAAUGUUGGAGUUUUUAAUCAUGUUGCUUUUUUUUUUUUUUUUUUGUCUUUCCUCCCUCCCUCGAUGCCUAUAAUGUGAUACUCCUCCCAUGUUAAAAAAGGAGGCAUUAAUAAGCUUCUGUUUUGGCCUUUUCCUCCCUUCCCUUCCCUUCCCUUCCCUCCGGCCGUUGUCUGUCCUUAGCGCUGACGGCAACAAGAAUCUGGGAAUACUUUCGCUCUCCUUCAUAAUGUUGGAUGUUACUAAUGAGCUCAACUUGUUAAUUAGUGAGUAAUUUAGCGUAAGUUUAUUCUGGCAGUUAUUGAGGUGUUCUAGGUAGUUAGGAAAAGAAGAGAGAGAGAGAGAGAGAGAGAGAAUCAUAAGUCUGUAACCUUCAAUUUUGUGACAGUAUCAUUCGGGCUAAUUGAGUAAAUAAUUCAGAAGGUAAAACUCAGCACUGGCCUCCGCGGUGCCCUGUUAUCCCCCGCUCAUUAAAUGCCUUCCCGCGGUACAAAGGGACGACCAAAAACAACACGCUGUCAAGAAAAUCAUUACGGUUGUGAGUCGCGUUUUUCCCCUCAUUAUCAUUAUUCAAUCGGGCUGAGGCAUUCAUGGGGAGGCUUACUUAUUUCUUCUCUCCCUCUUCUUUUUUUUUUUUUUGCCUCCUCUCUCUUUUCGAUUCUCUCUUCUCUCUUCGUGAAUGGCAAGUGAGGUUUAUGUACGCUGGGUCACUUUUUUCUCCUCCUCUCUUCUCUCUCUCUCUCUCCAUCUCUUUCCUCCUCCUCCUCCUCCUCUAGUGCUGGAUGCUCCUCUCUCUCCUUUUUUUUUUACUUUAUAUACAUGAUAGUCAGGCUUAUACGUCAUUUGCUUCCUUUUCUGAUGGUGGUUGUGAUGAUGGUGAUGUUGAUGCUGUGAUGUAUGUGUGUGUAGUUUAGGUGUUGACGGUGUAUGGUGGUGACGAGGGAGUGGAAGUGGUGGAGAUAGGCUGUGAGGGAAUAGUAGUAGUUGUUGUAUAGUUAUAGUUGUAGUAGUAGAAGUAGUCAUUUAUAUACAUCCCCUCCCCCCCCCCCCUUAACCCAAAUCAUCCCUCUCCCCUUCCCCUUAAAAACACCAUCUCCCCAUUCCCCACCAAUUUCUUCCCCAUUUACCUUACCCAUACUCAUUUCCUUAUCUCCCCUUCACUUUACUUCUUCUGCCUCCUCCUUCAUCCCCAACUCCUUUCCCAUUCCGCCUUUCCUCUCCCAUUUCUAUUAGCUUCUUCCCCGUCACUCACCUCCAACCCCUUCCCCAAUCCUCCCCUUUCCUCUCUUUUUACUUAUUCUGCCUUCUUUCCCACCUCAUCCCCUUCCUUAUCCUCUUUCCCCCAAUCCCCUCUUCCCUCGUUCAUUACUUAUUCUACCCCUUUCUUCCUCACCUCAUCCCCUUCCCCCUUUCCCCAAUCCUCUUCCCCUUUGCCCUCACCUUCCUCCUUCCCCAAUCCCCCUUCCCUCUUAGUUAACGAGAUGUGAUAACUGGAAAGAGGAAUGUGAUACCGUUUGCCAAAUUUGAUUCCUGUAAAUAUAUGCUUUCUGUGUCUCUUUUUUGCCCCUCCCACGGCUAUUCGCAAUGCAGAUUCUGUGUUCUGGUGUAUUUUAAUGAAGUUCGAAGCUAAGCAAAUGAGUCUGUUUGCUUGUUUGUUUGUUUUCUUGCUCCUCCGACUCUUUAUACACCUUUUUUUUACCCUUCUCUCUCUCCUUCUCCUCUUCCUCUCCUCCUCAUUCGCAGCCUGGAUUGUUUUGGUUGUGUAAUUAUGCUUCCCUCUCCCUCCUCCUCCUCCUCCCCUCCUCCCUCUCCAUGGUUUCUAGAGAACGCCCGCUCCUUCCCUUCUUCCCAUUCUCUAUCAAGGAAAACGGGAGUGCAAGCUUCGUUUUCUCUUUCUGUAAAUAAAGUCUUCCAUCCGC